rnacentral:lncRNA from 1 species
CCAGCUGGAUCACUGUGAUAACGUCAGCUGGAUCACUGUGAUAACGCCAGCUGGAUCACUGUGAUAACGCCAGCUGGAUCACUGUGAUAAUACCAGCUGGAUCACUGUGAUAACAACUUUACUGAAUCUAUUCAUCAAAUGGUUUUGUCGCAUCAUUCUGCUGUAGCAGGGGUUCCUUUAUCACAUAAAAAAAUGCAUAAAUUAGUUAUAAUAAUAAUAAUAAUAAAGGAUAAGGAAAAUAAAGUCUAGAACCAAUUUUCCCAAAUGUUAUACCGCUACUAAAUAUGUUUCAUAAUUUAUAUGAACCCUUUAAUUAUACAUAUUCUCUUUUACAGAAAAUAUAUAGAUCAAUUGAUUGUGACAAAGUCACACAUUGUAUAAGAUUACUUCCCAAGCACUUCAUUUUUUAAAUUGAACCUUUGUUUUAACAGGGAAGACAUGUGCCCUGUAUAUACAACAUGAACAUACAGUUCCUUCUGAAAGUAUUCAGACCCCUUGACUUUUUCCACAUUUUGUUAUGUUACAGGCUUAUUCCAAAAACGGUUACAUUUUUUAAAAUCCUCAUCAAUCUACGAACAAUACUCCAUAAUGACAAAGCGAAAAUAGGUUAUUAGACAUUUUUGCAAAUGUAUUAAAAUCAAAAAACAGAAAUACCUUAUUUGCAUAAGUAUUCAGACCCUUUGCUAUGAGACUAAAUUAAGCUCAGGUGCAUCUUGUUUCCAUUGAUCAUCUUUGAGACAACUUGAUUGGAGUCCAUCUGUGGUAAAUUCAAUUAAUUGGACAUGAUUUGGAAAAGCACACACCUGUCUGUAUGAGGUCCCACAGUUGACAGUGCAUAUCAGAGCAAAAACCAAGCCAUGAGGUUGAAGGAAUUGUCCGUAGAGCUCUGAGACAGGAUUGUGUCAAGGCACAGAUCUGGGGAAGGGUACCAAAAAAUGUCUGCAGCAUUGAAGGUCCCCAAUAACACAGUGGCCUCCAUCAUUAUUAAACGGAAGAAGUUUGGAACCACCAAGACUCUUCCUAGAGCUGGCCAAACUGAGCAAUCGGGGGAGUAGGGCCUUGAUCAGGGGGGUGACCAAGAGCCCGAUGGGAGCUCUGACAGAGCUCCAGAGUUCCUCUGUGGAGAUGGGAGAACCUUCCAGAAGAACAACCAUCUCUGCAGCACUCAACCAAUCAGGGCAUUAUGGUAGAGUGGCCAGACGGAAGCCACUCCUCAGUAAAAGGCACACGACAGCCCACUUGGAGUCUGCUCUGAUGAAUGCCAAGCAUCGCGUCUGGCAGAAACCUGGCACCAUCCCUACGGGGAAGUUUGGUGGUAGCAGCAUCAUGCUGUGGGGAUUUUGGUCAGCAGCAGGGACUGGGAGACUAGUCAGGAUAGAGGAAAAAAUUAACAGAGCAAAGGACAGAGAGAUCCAUGGAGAAAACCUGCUUCAGAGCGCUCAGGACCUCAGACUGGGGCAAAGGUUCCCCUUCCAACAGGACAACAACCCUAAGCACACAGCCAAGACAACACAGGAGUGGCUUCGGGACAAGUCUCUGAAUGUCCUUGAGUGGCCCAGCCAGAGCCCGAACUUGAGCCCGAUCGAACAUCUCUGGAGAGACCUGAAAAUAGCUGUGCAGCGACGCUCCCCAUCCAACCUGACAGAGUUUGAGAGGAUCUGCAGAAAAGAAUGGGAGAAACUCCCCAAAUACAGGUGUGCCAAGCUUGUAGUGUCAUACCCAAGAAGACUCCAGGCUGUAAUCGCUGCCAAAGGUGCUUCAACAAAGUACUAAGUAAAGGGUCUGAAUACUUAUGUAAAUGUGAUAUUGCCUGGGGGGGGGGGGGUUUGCAAACAUUUCUAAAAACCUGUUUUUGCUUUGUCAUAAUGGGGUAUUGUGUGUGGAUUGAUGAGGGAAAAAACUAUUGAAUACAUUUUAUAAUACUUUCCGAAUGCACUGUAAACAUUAUACCCAAACUAUGUACAUAUACAGUAGUUAAUCUGGAACAUUCUUACGAGGGUUUGAAAACAACAUGUAUUUCCUUUUGCCCAUAUUAGGCACAUGUUUUCAAUAAGUAAGUGAUUCCUGCACAGAUAUCAAAUUCGAUUGUAAUUUUGACACAGCCAGAUCAACAGUCGGGGCAAUAGCAUACAUAAUACUAUCAUACAAAUACAGAUGAAGUUUACCAUUUUGAACCGAUUUACCAAUGGUGUUUAUAUAAAUAGUGAAGAGAACAGGUACCAAAAUCAACCCCCGUGGUACACAAUGUACGUCGAGAAAUUCUGACGUAACCCCAUCAAUCACGAUGACUUGAGUUCUGUCACUAAGAUAAUCAUGAAACCGCGAACAGGCGUCAGAGCUCAGGCCUAUCGAGGACAACCUAUUUUAAUAAAAUAGCAUGAACAACAGUAUCAAAAACGUUUUGACAGGUCAACAAACAAAAUAAGCACAUUUCAUUUUAGCAUUGACAAGCCCAUUAACAACUAAAGUGAUUGUUGUAACAGUGCUCUGCCCAGGCCUAAACCCUGAUUGGUUUACAUUCAGAAUACAUUUCUCAGAUAAAAAAAAGAGCAAAGUUGAACACUCAACGAAGGUUCUAGAAUCUUAUCUCGACCAGGAAGCCUUGAAAUGUGGCGAUAAUGAUUAAGAUCUCUACUAUCCUCGUCCUUAUGGAGUGGCAGCACAAGAUCUGAUUUCCAAUACUUUUAGAAUAUUUCCCGAUAACAACGUUAAAUAACAAAUGGGGGUUAUUGAGCCAACAAUGAUCUGUGCCGCACACUUAAGCAGACCGGGAUCCAAUUGGUUGGCCCCUGUGGAUCUAUUGUUGUCUAUUGCUAGCAAAGCAUCCAGGACUUAUUUCUCUGUAAAUAGCCUAAAAGAAAAUCUUUGACUAUAAAUUCUCUGAUCAUUCAGCAAGUUUCCUCUAUCAUCAUCCAGCCCAAUAUCAUUGUGAAUAGGCUUAGAAGUUCUUGCAAAGAGAGAGCCCGCUGAAAUAAAAUGGUGAUUAAAUGCAUCAAAUUAUGGAUUUUUUUAUAAUGAGGCCAGUGUCUGAUUUAAUUUGUUGUUGCAGAGGAGGAAGUUGAACCCUUCAGGGAUCUUCCAGAAUUCAGCCGGGUUCCCAUUACAAUCCGAAAGUGUGGUUGCAUAAUAAUUUGAUUUAGCCUUUCUGAUUUGUCUUGCACAAUGAUUCCUCAGUUGCUUAAAAACUUGCCAGUCCGGGUGUAAGACUGUGUUCCUGGCCUUGACCCAAGCAUCAUCUCUUUUGUGAAUGACUUCUGAUGAUUCCGGAGUGUACCACGCAUUCGACUGACCUCUAACCCUGAUUUUUUUUUUAAGGGAGCAUGAUUAUCUACAACAGUAUUGAAGACAUCUGCAGAAAGGCUCCAAGCUAAAUCAGGUUCAGGGAUUAGAUGAAAUACAAUCAAGGUCACUAAAAUAAAGAUAAUGUAAAAAAAAGCCUCUUCACUGAAGUUCCUCUUUGUGAUGACACGAAGCUUCGCUUUUUAUAUUCUCACAUCUCUAACAGAAACAACUGGGCAGUGGUCACCAGUGUCUUGGGUGAACACACCAGUAGAAACAUAUUUCUCUGGUGUAUUUGUUAAAAUAAGAUCAAUCAAUCAGAGUUGACUUUGAAGGAUCUUUAGGCUUGGGCCGUGAAGGCUUUGUCACCAGCUGGGUUAGGUUUAGAUCAUUGCACAUGUCUUUUAGAUUGUCUGAAGCCUGCAUUUCCCAAUCAUAAUUUAGGUCACCCAGGAUAAUAAAUUCUGAUUUAGUAAAAGAAGACAAUAAACUAGUUUAACUCCUUGAGUGCACAAAGGUUAGCCAAGGGAGGACGGUAGGCCCCUAUAACAGUUAUGGAUACAUUUUCCCCUAGACAAAGGCUAAAAGAUAGGAGAAAAAAAGUAUUUACAAGGGACAAGGGAUUUCGGUAAAGAGACAGGGACAUUUAAAAAAAUAAUGUAAUGGCCACUCCACUACAUCUACCCUGUCUGUCGGCGCUGAACACAUUACAACCCUUAAUACUAAUAUCAGAGUCCAGAAUUUCCCCAGAGAUCCACGUUUCAGUCAAAACUAGAAUGUCCGGAUUCAUCUGCAUAACCCAGAUCUUGAUGUAAUCCAGUUUAGGAAGUAAACUCUAAAUGUUGAAAUGCAUCAACCCAAGUCCUUUAUGAUUUUAUCAAACCGAGGAGGUAUUCAUCAACUUUAUGGAAUUCACACUUGAACUAAAAGUACUGGGUGAGCAGACUACUGUGGAAUCCUCUUUUUAGCUAACAAUAGCAGAUCUAGGAGUGGAUUCAAAACUAAAUGUUCAAGAAAGCGUACAGUAUUACAUAGAGCCAUUAUUGCAUGGAACUCCCUUCCAUCUCAUAUUGCUCAAAUAAACAGCAGACAUGAUUAAAAAAAAAAACUGAAAAAGCAACACCUCACAGCACAAUGCCUCUCCCCUAUUUGACCUAGAUAGGUUGUGUGUAUGUAUUGAUAUGUAGGCUACGUGUGCCGUUUUUAAAUCUAUGUAAUUCUGUCCUUGAGCUGUUCUUGUCUAUUAAUGUUCUGGAUGAUGUCAUGUUUCAUGUGGAGCCCAGGAAGAGUAGCUGCUGGUUUCGCAACAGCUAAUGGGGAUCCUAAUAAACUACCAAAUAAGCCUGGCAGACAACAGUAGGACGAUAACGCUUAGAAAGGAUGGGAGGUAUUACCUGAGCGGGUCUGCCUCCGAGUCUAUAUCUUAACGCAGCCUUGACAUAUGAAGAUAGGGUCCAGGCUCCAAGAUGGAUUGGGUCCAUCAUCUCUGUAAAGCAUCUUUCUUUUCCAAAAAGUGUCGAAAUUGUCUAUUAAAGUUGUGCUAACAGAGUGGCAGUGACAGCCGCAUCUAUUCUCAAAAAUAAUGAUGUAUCAUGAUGAAUGUGUUUAUUUAUUUAACCCGGUAAAUUGACUGAGAACACAUUCUCAUGUACAGCAAUGACCUGGGGAAUAGUUGCAUGGGGGGAGGAGGUGGAUGAAGGAGCCAAAAAUGCAUGCAUUUUGCGUACCAACUACGCAAUUAUCGGUCAAUGUACGCAGGUACGAGAUCCGAGUUAAAAGUACGCAGAAAUGAAUAGGGCCUGAUUUUUUUUUACAUCGUAAUAAAAAAGAAAUCCACUGAGUAAAUCUAGCAUCCCAAUUCUCGAGCUGCAACACACAGACAUGUACUGUGUUUGUGUCAACGGACAUGGAGAUGAAUACAUUAUUAUUCGACAUAGCUACCCCGGGUCUGCUCCUCCGCCUGUUUGUUGUGAUGCUGAGUUUGCCGGCUGUCAGCUGUACGUGAACACAUGGGACAAAUCCCUUUUCGACUCCGUGUGUUGUGGAAAGGUAAACACUAAUUGUUUCAAGCUAACGUUUUGGGUUGCCUAGUUAAAUAAAGGCUAAAUAAAAAAUGUAAAAACGUUAGCAAACAUAAGAUGGACAUUCAGUGGGCUCUAAAAGGCCAGCAGUUCACUCGCAUUUGCUCGUGAAAGAAAUUAAAUGCAAAUCCGAAAAAUAACUGGUUGCAUUUGUGCGAGUGUGAUAUACAUUUAAUUCUGCGUCCCAUUAGUUGUAUUUUCCACCUAACGUGACGAGGAUCCCGCAACCUGAUAGACUGUAACUAUAAUUAUGAUCCACGUCACAAAAAGCAUUGCAACAGUAUAAUCAAAAAUAAAUAGAAACAUCUUGGCAUUAAAUGGAGUCGGGAGUUUAGAAGACUGCGGGAUGACGAAUGAGUGAGUGUCCGGUAUCAGCUAUAGAGGCAAUGCUUCUAACAUGCCUUUGCACUAGAUUUGAGAUUUUAUCAAUUUCUAAAAUCUGAAAUGAUCUAUACGCUGCAAAGAAAUCCAAUAGGCACCUUUACAUAGGCUGAAACACCGGACUCUUCCAGCGGACAGCGUUCAGAUUCCCUUUGCGGUAGCCUAAUGAAGAUUUGUGUAGCCAGUUUGCGGUCUGUGUCGAUGCGAUCAUUUUGUUUUAGUUUUCAAAAUGAUUUUGCUUUUAGUGUUGAUUAGGAACCGUGUCUAAAAAGCCAAUACUUGUGAGCUGGCCCUAGUGAUUGGCCCUGUUUGAGAGAUGACAAGCGUUCCUCUACAAUAAGGACUAAACUUGGGGCCAAGCCAAGCUGGAUCUGAAGACAUUUUAUGCAGACGUCAGAAACGUAUUUAUCUACUGCAGUAGACUACAUGUUGCUGAAAUGUCCAUUUGAGGAUGUUUGCUCCUCCAGCAUGCAGUGGUUGCUGACAUUGGCAACAGGCAGACUGUCGAGUUCUCAUCCCUCAACUUUUUCAUGGCAAGCUUUCCCUGCAUGAUUCCUGAGGGAACCUCCAUGGAUCUGGUGGAAGAUGAGUUUGGACUCUAUCAGGCAACAACCUUUGAGCAGAACCUGGUCAACAUGCGCAAGGAUCAGACCUGGAGAGAAAUCAGCCCAAUGAAAAGGGGGGUAGCCUGGUCUACUCCCACCUUUCGGCUGUGAUGCUGGGGAUAUAUUCCACAGCAAUGCAGACUGGGAACAAAUAUUCAGUCUUGUUUCCAAGAACAAAACCCAGUACAGAGACUCCCUCAGUACAGACCUGCUGAGUGCCCUCGUUACCAAGAAGGUUUCUAUGAUUGCCAGAGGAACAGUUUUCCACAGAGAAGUCUACCCUGAUGCUCUGCUGCAAGGCUAAAUCUGCUAGCUACCAGGCUAAUCUGUCUAGGAAAUGAUUUCCUGAACAUUUGAAGGUCUCCAGAAGAUUAGUUCUCACCCACUGUUUCCUAUCAUAGCUUUUUCCUUUUUAUGAUGGAUAACAUGUUGAUUUGAUACUCAUGCUCCGCUUCAAACCCCAAUUUGGCACGCGCUACGGCCGUGCAGUUGAAUCUCCAAUUUGCCACGCGUGUCUGGUACUCUAAAAAAGUUGGACAGGGUGACAGCCAGAUUGGGAAUUCAGCCAGGACACCAGAGUUAACAGAUCACCGUAGACUUGGAAGGUGGUGCCACCAAUCUGGAUAAAAUCUGUUUCCCCGUAUGAAGGAAAGUGGUUGGUAAAAUAGGUUGGCGAGGAAUCAGCUAAAAGUCAAUCCACACAGUGUGAUAGUUAGUUAGAUUGAAUCACACAGUUAGUAGGAUCACCACAGUUCCAGGCAGCAAGCCAGAACCCAACCACAGACUAAAAACCAGCCAGCAAUAGGACCCACAAUAAACAAGGAACAAAACAGGCCAGCAUUACAACAGCAAGGAGAGAGCAGUGACUUAGCAAAUUCUGGGGCCCAUCAAAACAGCAACACAAUGGAGGCCAUGUUAACAGUAUGAUAGCCAGGAGAGAAGCACCUUGGAGGGGAUGUAGUUUCUAGUAGAGGCCGCUGGAAGCCGGGAGGGGGGCAAGCGCUACAGAGUAAAUCCAAGUUGUCUAAACAAAGUUUGGCGGUAGUCAAACAACAUCCAAGGCGCAAUGUCAAGCAGCAGUAGGCAGGUGUCUACUCAGAUAAUGCCCCAGUGCAGGUCCCAGUUCAGGCCCCAGUGCAGGUCCCAGUUCAGGCCCCAGUGCAGGUCCCAGUUCAGGCCCCAGUGCAGGCCCCAGUGCAGGUCCCAGUGCAGGUCCCAGUUCAGGCCCCAGUGCAGGCCCCAGUGCAGGCCCCAGUGCAGGCCCCAGUGCAGGUCCCAGUGCAGGCCCCAGUGCAGGCCCCAGUGCAGGCCCCAGUGCAGGCCCCAGUGCAGGUCCCAGUUCAGGUCCCAGUGCAGGUUCCAGUGCAGGUCCCAGUGCAGAGUAGGGUGUCCAAGUAUAUCCAAGUAGGCCUCAAAAGUUUCAGCAGACCUGUUUUGUAUGUCUCCUUAAAAACUCUGCAUGCAAUAUUGAGCUAUUGUCCAAUGUGUUCAUAGUCAGAUUAAACAACGCUAAAUAGAGACAAACACAGCUACAAACAUUGAUCAGAGAAAAAAGACCUGCUUACUGGCAUCUUGGUCAUAGCUCAGUUUGUAAAUGCCAUAGAGAUGAACCAAAGAUGUUCCCAUGUGUAUCCGAGUUCCGUCUUCCUUGGGCAUUUUAACACUUGUUUCUAGCCUAAAGCGUUGUGGACUUACGUGUCAAUGUAAAAAUAUAUAUACAGGGCACUCGGAAAGUAUUCAGACCCUUCCCCUUUUCCACAUUUUGUCACAGCCUUAUUGUGAAAUGUAUUUACCAUAUUUUUUCCCUCACAAUACCCAAUAGUGGCAACGUGAAAACAGGUUUUUAGAAAUGUUGGCAAAUGUAUACAUUUUUUAAACAGAAAUACCUUAUUUACAUAAGUAUUCAGACUCUUUGCUAUGAGACUCAAAAUUGAGCUCAGGUGCUUCCUGUUUCCAUUGAUCAUCCUUGAGAUGUUUCUACAACUUGGUUGGAGUCCACCUGUGGUAAAUUCAAUUGAUUGGACAUGAUUUGGAAAGGCACGCACUUGUCUAUAUAAGGUCACACAUUUGACAGUGCAUGUCACAGCAAAAACAAAACCAAGCCAUGAGGUAAAAGGAAUUGUCCGUAGAGCUCCGAGACAGGAUUGUGUCGGCACAGAUCUGGGGAAGGGUACCAAAAAAUGUCUGCAGCAUUGAAGGUCCCCAAGAACACAUGAUCCUCCAUCAUUCUUAAAGGGAAGAAGUUUGGAACCACCAAGGCUCUUCCUAGAGCUGGCUGCCUGGCCAAACUGAGCAAUCGGGGGAGAAGGGCCUUGGUCAGGGAGUUGAUCAAGAACCCGAUGGUCACUCUGACAGAACUCCAGAGUUCCUCUGUGGAGAUGGGAGAACCUUCCAGAAGGACAACCAUCUCUGCAGCACUCCACCAAUCUGGCCUUUUAUGGUAGAGGGGCCAGACUGAAGCCACUCCUCAGUAAAAGGCUCAUGACAGCCCUCUUGGAGUUUGCCAAAAGGCACCUAAAGGACUCUCAGAACAUUCCCUGGUCUGAUGAAACCAAGAUUGAACUCUUUGGCCUGAAUGCCAAGCAUCACGUCUGGAGAUAACCUGGCACCAUCCCUACGGUGAAGCAUGGUGGUGGCAGCAUCAUGCUGUGGAGAUGUUUUUCUGCAGCAGGGACUGGGAGACUAGUCAGGAUCGAGGGAAAGAUGAACGGAGCAAAGUACAGAGAGAUCCUUGAUGAAAACCUGCUCCAGAGCACUCAGGACCUCAGACUGGAGCGAAGGUUCACCUUCCAACAAGACAAUGACCCUAAGCACACAGCCAAGACAAGCUUGUAGCGUCAUACCCAAGAAGACCCGAGGUUGUAAUCGCUGCCAAAGUUGCUUCAACAAAGUACCUUUGUAAAGGGUCUGAAUACUUAUGUGAAUGUCAUAUUUCAGUUUUUUAUUUGUAAUGCAUUUGCAAACAUUUCUAAAAACCUGUUUUACUUUGUCAUUAUGGGUAUAGAUUGAUGAGGGAAAAAAAAUAUUUAAUCCAUUUUAGAAUAAGGCUGUAACGUAACAAAAUGUGGAAAAAGUCAAGGGGUUUGAAUACUUUCAGAAUGCAUUGUAUACUAUAACAAUAUUUCUGUAUUCUCCCCCUAGCUGGCUAUCAAAACACAUUAUGCAGUCACUCCGUCAAAACACAGCCUUCAAAUUUAUGCUGACUGUACAUGAUUGUUUUCUGAAAACAGAGUACAUUCAUCAUCCAAUCACUCAGUCUGUCUGAUGGCUGUACUUACAUCUCUGACUCUUUUCUAAAUAUCUAACUAAAUCUGUGACUAUUUUCCAGUAUCCUUCGCUCACAAACGGAGUUGUUUGUGUGUGUGCGUGUUUGUUUGUGCGUGGCAUGCAUACUUAUUCUGACAUUAAGUGUGGGACCAUGGCAAGUCUCACUGCAGGACUCCUCUCAGAAAUCUAUUUCUCAAAAUCGUUUUUUUUCAUUCUGUGUCCAUCCAAUCAAUAUACUACCUACUGCCCUCUCUCUCUCCUCCUCCUCCCCUCUCUCCUCCCCUCUCUCUCCUCCUCCUCCCCUCUCCUCCUCCUCCUCCUCCCCUCUCUUUCUCUCCUCCUCCUCCCCUCUCUUUCUCUCCUCCUCCUCCCCUCUCUUUCUCUCCUCCUCCUCCCCUCUCUCUCUCUCUCUCUCUCCUCCUCCUCCCCUCUCUUUCUCCUCCUCCCCUCUCUCUCCUCCUCCUCCUCCUCCUCCUCCUCCUCUCUCCUCCUCCUCCCCCUCUCUUUCUCUCCUCCUCCUCCCCUCUCUUUCUCUCCUCCUCCCCCUCUCUCCUCCUCCUCAUCCCCUCUCUUUCUCUCCUCCUCCUCCCCUCUCCACCUCCUCCUCCUCCUCCCCUCUCUUUCUCUCCUCCUCCUCCCCUCUUUCUCUCCUCCUCCUCCCCUCUCUUUCUCUCCUCCUCCUCCUCUCUCUCUCCUCCUCCUCCCCUCUCUUUCUCUCCUCCUCCUCCCCUCUCUUUCUCUCCUCCUCCUCCCCUCUCUUUCUCUCCUUCUCCUCCCCUCUCUCCUCCUCCUCCUCCCCUCUCUCUCCUCCUCCUCCUCCCCUCUCUCCUCCUCUCCUCCCCUCUCUCCUCCUCCUCCUCCCCUCUCUCUCCUCCUCCUCCCCUCUCUCUCCUCCUCCUCCUCCCCUCUCUCUCCUGCUCACUCUGUGAAUGAUUCCCACAUCCUACUCUUCAGGGGCACUACUUUCCAAUCAAUGCUCUUUACAUCUCUCUCUUUCUCUCAAUACCCCACAUCUACCGCUCCUCUUUCUCUCUAUACCCCACAUCUACCCCUCCUCUCUUUAACACUAUACCCAACCUAUACCUCUCAUCUCUUUCCCUCUAUACGCCACCUCACCCUCUCUCUUUCUCCCCCGGCACUCCAUCUUUCUCUAUAUAUUUAUCUCUCCCUAUCAACCCUUUCCCUCUCUGUCUUUCUGUCAAAUAGCAUUUUAUGUGUCACAUGCUUUGUAAACAACGGGUGUAAACAGUGAAAUGCUUACUUACAGACUGUGGUCCAACCUCUUACAUCUAGGGGUUCCACUAGCGGAACCCCUAGCCAACAGCCAAUGGGAUCGCAUGGCGGGAAAUACAAAAACAACUAAAAUACCACAAUUCCAUUUUCUCAAACAUACGACUAUUUUACACCAUUUGAAAGAUAAACCUCUCCUGAAUCCAACCACAUUGUCUGAUUUCAAAAAGGCUUUACAGCGAAAGCAAAACAUUAGAUUAUGUUAGGAUACCACCACAGCAAAAAAACAACAACACAGCCAUUUUCCUAGCAAGGACAGCCAUUUUCCAAGCAAGGGUCCCAAAGCACAAAACCAGCUACAAUUAUGCACUAACCUUUGACGAUCUUCAUCAGAUGACACUCCUAGGACAUUAUGUUAGACAAUACAUGCAUUUUUUGUUCCAUCAAGUUCAUAUUUAUAUCCCCAAAAAAAACAUUUUACAUUGGCGCGUGACGUUCAGAAAAUGUAUUCCCACCAAAAACUUCCUGUGAAUUUACAAAAAUACUCAUCAUAAACGUUGACAAAAUACAUAACAAUUAUUUUAAGAAUUAUAGAUACAGUACUCUUUUAUGCACCCGCUGUGUCAGAUUUCAAAAUAACUUUAUGUAGAAAGCACAUUGUUCAAUAUUCUGAGUACUGAGCACCAUGCUAUUCAGUUAGCCGUCCAGCCACGGCAUCCACAAAACGCUGAAAUAUGUUAAAAAUAUUAUCUUACCUUUGCUGAUCUUCGGCUGAAUGCACUCAGAAGGUCUCCCACUUCCACAAGAAAUGUUCAUUUGUUCGAUAAAGUCCAUCAUUUAUGUCGAAAUAAAUCAGUUUUGAUGGCGCGUCCAGAUCACCAUUCCAAAAUGCAUCUAUCCACCGUCGACGAAAAGUUAUAAAGUUCCCUCAGCGUUUGUAGAAACAUGUCAAACCAUGUUCAAUCAAUCUUUAGGGUGUUAUUAUAGUAGAAUUUCAAUAAUAUUCCAACUGGACAAUAGCAGAUUCAUUACAAAAGAAAAAUGGCUAAUCCUUCGUGAGCGUGCGCGAGGUGAGGCAAUGACACCAGGUCGACCACAUACUGUUCCGGGUAUUAUUAUAUCAAAUUGUAUUCUAGAAGCCUCAAACGAGGUUCUAAUGACUGUUGACAUCUAGUGGAAGCCUUAGGAAUGCAAUAUGAC